rnacentral:lncRNA from 1 species
AGCUGAACUGCGCACGGGUGCUUUUACAGUCUUUGCUUUCUUCCUUCAGCGCAGCCUAAUGCCAAGACAGUCUCAGUGCUUUCUGAUUAAUACCAGACUUAUCGCACAGGUGCAUUUCGUACAUGCUAGAACGUGGGUGAUUUUAUUUCUUGUAAAUAUCUUAUUUUCGACCUUUUUCGUAGGUAUUUAUCCUUCAUGCAGUCCAAAUGAACGUGUCUUUUUUUGAAGUGCGCCGUUUUUUCGUUUCUUGCGGCGACAGGCAAGGAGACGCAAGCGCUUCUCCAGUGACGGCAGGGGCGACGUGUCAGUCACAUUUAAGAGCGCGUUUUAUUCCUUGGACAGUAAACAGAUCCCAAGAUGCCCAGCUACAUGAAAUCCUUCGAGCGCCUGUACCCUUUGAGAAUAAAACCCCAGUCCAUCUUCCGAACAGGAGCUUUUAUUCCACACAACAGAAAAGCAGCAGGUUAACGUCCCGGCUCUCUCCGGCCCUGAGGUGGACCAGAACAAGGAGAGCUUUAGGGAGAGGAUUAGGGAGAGCGAGUGCGGACAGCACGGACCUGGAGAAACCCCAAGCAAAAAAAAGGGACGAUUUCGACUCUCAUGUUUCGCGAAGCAGCUGUUUCGUUUAUUACAUAUUUCUUUCUAAUAGUUGGCCUUAUUUGAGAAAUAAAACGUGAAAGUGCACAU